CCUACGGGGGGCAGCAGUGGGGAAUAUUGGACAAUGGGGGGAACCCUGAUCCAGCCAUGCCGCGUGUGUGAAGAAGGCCCUCGGGUUGUAAAGCACUUUCAGUGAGGAAGAACGCCUGGUGGUUAAUACCCAUCAGGAAAGACAUCACUCACAGAAGAAGCACCGGCUAACUCCGUGCCAGCAGCCGCGGUAAUGCGGAGGGUGCGAGCGUUAAUCGGAAUUACUGGGCGUAAAGCGCGCGUAGGUGGCUUGAUAAGCCGGUUGUGAAAGCCCCGGGCUCAACCUGGGAACGGCAUCCGGAACUGGCAAGCUAGAGUGCAGGAGAGGAAGGUAGAAUUCCCGGUGUAGCGGUGAAAUGCGUAGAGAUCGGGAGGAAUACCAGUGGCGAAGGCGGCCUUCUGGACUGACACUGACACUGAGGUGCGAAAGCGUGGGUAGCAAACAGGAUUAGAUACCCCAGUAGUC
rnacentral:rRNA from 1 species